rnacentral:sRNA from 1 species
CUUCUUCCUUGCUAGCUCCAAAAUUUGGACACAUUACUCAUUUCAAAUUUUCUGUGCUUCUAUUAUCUCACUAUUCAGCGAGAAGGUGUUCCGUAUUAAAGUUGAAGAUGAAAAUCACAUUAACAUAAUCCGCGAGUUGGCCAGCACGACCCAGAUUGACUUCUGGAAGCCAGAUUCUGUCACACAAAUCAAACCUCACAGUACAGUUGACUUCCAUGUUAAAGCAGAAGAUAUUGUCACUGUGGAGAAUGUUCUAGAGCAGAAUGAACUACAAUACAAGGUACUGAUAAGCAACCUGAGAAAUGUGGUGGAGGCUCAGUUUGAUAGCCGGGUUCGUGCAACAGGACACAGUUAUGAGAAGUACAACAAUUGGGAAACGGUAUGAUGUGCACAUGAUUUAGACAGAUAUUGCUUUGGGAAUUGAACCAAGAAUGCCACAUUGAUCUACAAAUGAUUCCAUUUGGUAGAUAGAGGCUUGGACUCAACAAGUCGCCACUGAGAAUCCAGCCCUCAUCUCUCGCAGUGUUAUCGGAACCACAUUUGAAGGACGUGCUAUUUACCUCCUAAAGGUUGGCAAAGCUG